GUUUCCACUUUGCAACCUCCCGCUCCGUUAUCUCUAAGCCAAUCGCCGCCGUGAGUGAUAACGAGUAAAAUCAACAAACAUGAAUUUCUCCUGAUCAACUAUGAAGAUACGCUUGUCAAAAUUGAUCAGGCUUUUAUGCCUUUUGAUUUUAAUAUGCAUGUUCGCCCAGUUGAUCUUUAUUCUCACGCAGACAGAAUUUUCACAGUCUUUCUUCAACACCGGCGUGAGGUACGACUUCGAGGACCUGGAUUUCGUGGCGAAGAAACACACCCUUAAACUGUACAUCCUAGGACCAGAGUCGCUGACAGGCGAAGAUCGUGAUAAGUUAUAUUUCAAAAAUGGUGAUAUCGUUUAUUUGGGAAUCGACUUUGAAUCUGUGACUACAACCCAGUUGCAAGCUUUUGGGAGAUCCCUGAGCAAAUUGGGCUUUGCUUUAAUGGAAUUCUUCAACAAGGACUAUUUUGAAUUGCAUAAAAACGUUUAUAUAACAGUUAGUAUGGUAUUGAAGAGGAACGUGUUGAUUUGUAUUUACAUCUUAUACACCAAAGAGGACAAUUCCUGGUGGUUUGGUGCUUUGAGUAAAGAUGAACAAUGGCAUUACAAAUUUGCCGUUUUGGAUGUAAAUCCUUCACUCUAUUCGAGUAUACUAUCUAAAGAGAAGCUUAUUAAAAAAUUUGCAGCAGUUGAAAUUGAAAAGCCGUUCAACAGUUUCUUAAGGCCAAAACAUUACAGCCGAUAUCUGGAGGAUUUUAAACAUUCACAGUUUGUCCCAUGUAACAGUAGCAGAGCAUUGCUGUUCCAAAGGAAAUUUGAACAUGCUGCAGAAUUAACCACAUCAGCCAUAAGAUUUAAACACAGAGCUUGGAAAUUACUCACUGUAGUGCGUACAGUUUUUGACAAUUUGUCUAUCCCGUUUUGGUUAAGCAGUGGGACUUGUUUAGGUUAUUACCGUCAGUGUAGCAUAAUACCGUACACGAAAGAUGUUGACAUUGGUGUUUUUGCAAGUAAUUACUCCGAUCGAAUAAUUUCCGCUUUAGAAAAGCAGGAUAUCAAAUUGAUGCUGUGGCUUGGCGAAUUGGAAGAUUCUCUUGAACUAUCUUUUCGCGACAAGUAUGGCAUUAAAUUGGACAUAUUUUUCUUUUACGACAAUGGAAGGAACAUGUGGAAUGGUGGCACACAAGUGAGAACCGGAAAAAAAUUCAAAUACUUGUUUCCCAGAUUUGAACUCUGCUGGACAUUGUUUUUAACCAUAAAGAUUCGGUAUCUGAAAUUUCUGAGGUUUCGCUAAAGAUGGAAGGAAGCUGACUUGGCUGGCAGAAACAGAUGAAAAUUAACAUUCAAUUCAUCAGGGAAACUCCUGUAUUUCAAGAGUAUUAGAAGGUAACCUUGUACGGAUCUCGAGUCAUAGAAGAUGGACCAUAUUCACCCGACUCAGAGUAGGCCUGACGCACAGAUUUUUACUUUCAUACCAAAGCGUCUGGAAGAAAAGAAUAUGCAGUGUUUAUGGAGUGAAUUUUCCAAUUUUUUGGCUUCAAAGGCAAACCACCUUGGUCUAGGAAGUUACAAGAGGAUGCCCACAGGGCCUGCAUUAGACCCAGCGUUUUGGUCACAUAUGGAGUUGUCGUUGUAAGACAUCCUCCUUCAAAGUAAAUUUCUUCAUGACAAAUUGGAGAGAUAUUGAAUAACUUACAAAGCAUAUAAGUAGAAGCUGCUAGAAUGGCUGAUAAAUGUCCAAAAAGCUCAAGAUUUGUAAAAAAAAAAUAGGUAGAUAAGGUAUGGCAAAGCAGGUGGGACAUAUUAGAACGACAAAUUCAACUAAAUUAUAAUUUUAUUAAUUAUAAAACAGUGUUUGAAAAAAAAAUAUGUCACAGGAUAAUAUAUGACAUAAAGAAUUUUGUGUGUGCGUUUAAUCCUACUAAAUUUGCUAUUAUUACAUUUUUAAAAAUUUUUUUCUAAAACUGUCAUGUGCAUGAAAACAGUUGGCUAAAUAUUCUAAAAUACAUUAAAUGAGAUUUCAUUCUUAAAAAUAAAUAAUACAGAUAAUGCACAUUUUUGUGAUAAUGUCUAAAUCACCAGUAUAUUUAACGCAUAGAUUCUAAUGCGUGGGUUUAGCCUGAUAACAACUAUUGCUACAUAUCUUUAUGAGUAUUCUAGGACUAGAAUAUCUUUAUAUUCUACAAUGAUACAGUGAUUUAUAUUUGUUUAUAAUUUUUUACCCACUCGUUAUAUCGACUGACCUGAGAACAAAUGUUAAAAACGCAAAACUCUAAAUCAAAAUAUUGCUUGUAGACAUAAAAUAUUUUUAUAUACGUUUUGUUGGUCUGUCAACAUUUUCUAAAAGAUCAAAAAUUAAUUGAUAUUAGUGUUUUUUUUAAAUACUGAAGUAAUAAAAAAUAAGUAGUUCAUAUCCUCCAAAUAAUUUGAAAUUUAGAAUAUACUACAAAUUAAAUAUCUAUAAUUCAUUAAUAAAUGCAAUUUCUGUCAAUUUUAAAAAUGAAAUUAAGUAUUGCACAACGAAGUACACAAUUGUUUACCCUUUUGACAAGUUUGAAGAUUACCUUUAACAUUUAUAUAACAAUAACAUGAAUUAUAUAAAAUAUGUCGUUUGUAAAAUAAAAUUGUAACCACAAAAAUUAACAAAUUUUAAUUCUCAUAAAAAAAGUUUCAAUUAUAUUGCACAAUUUUCUUACAAAAGUCAUUUAUAAAAUCAAUCAAUAAAUGUAUAAAAAUAUUAUUUUUUAUGAUAUUAAUUUGUUUAUCUGAAUAAGGCACCAUAUGUAGCGCAUUAAUUUUUAGAAAUAUUUUGUUUUAUCCAUGACUCUCGUAUUUUGGAUUUAUUGUCUUUUAACAAGUGGUAACAGUGAUAAUCUAGUGAUUCGUCUAAGUGUUAAAUUUUGCCAAUUUGAUUGUGACAAUUUUCAAAAAGAUCCACAUUCCCUUAAAACCCUGUUUCCCAAUGGUAAAGGCGGA
rnacentral:misc_RNA from 1 species